CUACUACCGAUUGAAUGGUUYAGUGAAGUGUUCGGAUCGGGGCCACCUGGGYGGGUCCCCGGUGGUGACGUAGCGAKAAGUACACACUGAAGAUUWUCAUUUUGARGAAGGAAGAAAU
rnacentral:rRNA from 1 species